CAAAGAUAGCCUGUCUGCUGAGGACAUCAGUGUUAACCGCACACUGCACUGUUGCUCCCACACCAUCCACUGCACCUUUGCCAUGGCUUGUGGCAAAGAAGUGCCACUGCACUUUUAAAGUUGGAAACAACUCCUUGAAGGUGGUUGACAUGAAACACCAGAUGAAUUUGUUUUUGAACUGAGAGGCAGCUCCAUCGCUAAAAAUGUGCAUCACUCUCAUUGCAGGAUGUUUUUCUUGAACGUCCAGGACAAUCUUGGUGAGGAACGUUGCCACGGACCUCUUGUCAUGUUCCAAGCUGUCGCUAACUAUGGCAUAUGACACUGGAUCUCCAUCAGACCACAGAACAGAGGGAAACACAGUGAUCUGUUUCUGAUGCCCGUAUGCUGACUUAAUCUGAUCUUGUGAUUCAGAAAUUGUGUAGCUGCUGUCUUUACGGAAUCUAGGACAUCACCUAGUGUGCCACUCUUCUGGACCUUAUUUGGCAGCCCUCCGGUAGCUUCCCAUGUGUACCAGGUCACCUUAAUUUGUUUGUCUUCCUCUGGAAUGUGACUAAGAACACUGGUUUCCAGCAGCUUUCCACUCCUGCAUUCAGCACACCGGCCUAACAUGCAGUGAGGACUAUCUGGAUUGCAGGCCACAGCUUUUAUAAAAUCCUGUGUGCUCUGGAAUGCUUGCCUUGGGAUGACACGUUGCACACAGUCCAGGGCUAAUUUAAGAUUCUCAUGGUAACGGCACAGGCAAACAUUUCUCGGAGUAUCUGAACACCGGAGUACAUGAGAUGGUCGAAGCUCAGCAAAUUUAGAUUUCCCAAUUAUAAACUCUGGAUGUUCACUCUUGAAGCUGCGGUAGGCCUCUAGAAUAGACAUUGUUAAAUGUCGUUUCUGGAUUUUCUUUUUUACUCCUCCCUCUCUGACUGUGAGCACAUCCCUCAUCCCUGGUGCUUGCCUUGAGAUGUCAUCUCUCUCAUAGAACUCCUUGACUUGACCAUAUGUAGUAGUUGUGGUAUUAUUCUUUUUCUCCUGAAGAAGGC
ensembl:lncRNA